GAUGAAGAACGUAGUGAAAUGCGAUAAGUAAUGCGAAUUGCAGAAUUCCAGUGAGUCAUCGAAUCUUUGAACGCACAUUGCGCCCUUUGGUAUUCCGAAGGGCAUGCCUGUUCGAGCGUCAUUAUCACCCCUCAAGCCCCGUGCUUGGUGUUGGACGGCCGGUCGAGCGAUCGACCCCUCCUAAAGUCAAUGACGGCGGCCUGUGGUUCCCCCGGUACACUGAGCUUUUAACUGAGCACGUAUCGGACAAGGGCACCCGGGACCCGGUCCUCUCCUUUAACUAGGAAACUUCUAAGGUUGACCUCGGAUCAGGUAGGAAUACGCGCUGAACUUAAGCAUAUCAAUAAGCGGAGGA
rnacentral:misc_RNA from 1 species